AUCCGGGUUGCGGACAGUGUCUGGUGGGUAGUUUGACUGGGGCGGUCUCCUCCUAAAGAGUAACGGAGGAGCACGAAGGUUGGCUAAUCCUGGUCGGACAUCAGGAGGUUAGUGCAAUGGCAUAAGCCAGCUUGACUGCGAGCGUGACGGCGCGAGCAGGUGCGAAAGCAGGUCAUAGUGAUCCGGUGGUUCUGAAUGGAAGGGCCAUCGCUCAACGGAUAAAAGGUACUCCGGGGAUAACAGGCUGAUACCGCCCAAGAGUUCAUAUCGACGGCGGUGUUUGGCACCUCGAUGUCGGCUCAUCACAUCCUGGGGCUGAAGUAGGUCCCAAGGGUAUGGCUGUUCGCCAUUUAAAGUGGUACGCGAGCUGGGUUUAGAACGUCGUGAGACAGUUCGGUCCCUAUCUGCCGUGGGCGCUGGAGAACUGAGGGGGGCUGCUCCUAGUACGAGAGGACCGGAGUGGACGCAUCACUGGUGUUCGGGUUGUCAUGCCAAUGGCACUGCCCGGUAGCUAAAUGCGGAAGAGAUAAGUGCUGAAAGCAUCUAAGCACGAAACUUGCCCCGAGAUGAGUUCUCCCUGAGACUUAAAGUCUCCUGAAGGAACGUUGAAGACGACGACGUUGAUAGGCCGGGUGUGUAAGCGCAGCGAUGCGUUGAGCUAACCGGUACUAAUGAACCGUGAGGCUUAACCUUACAACGCCGAAG
rnacentral:rRNA from 3 species